UACGAAGGGGGCUAGCGUUGUUCGGAAUUACUGGGCGUAAAGGGCGCGUAGGCGGCGUGUCAAGUCAGGCGUGAAAGCCCCGGGCUCAACCUGGGAACCGCGCUUGAGACUGGCAUGCUCGAGUUCGGGAGAGGAUGGUGGAAUUCCCCAGUGUAGAGGUGAAAUUCGUAGAUAUUGGGAAGAACACCGAUGGCGAAGGCAGCCAUCUGGACCGACACUGACGCUGAGGCG
rnacentral:rRNA from 1 species